UCUUCGUUGAAUUCAAUCACUACGGAUGGGUAUUCUCUCUCCUUCUCGAUCUGUCUAUAGGGUUUUCUUCUUUCCAGAUUCCCCGUUGGUUUUCUGUGGGUAACAAUCGUUUUCUUCAUGAUUCCCCGUUGGUUUGCUUUCACCAGGAUCUACGAGCUUUCUCCGUGGUCUCAAACGAGGAUCCGAUCUAAGAGCGUUAACUGGCGGUGGCUUUCUUCUCAUCCAAAUCAGAAUUAGAUGAUGCCAGGCCUAAACCCUCUCAUCCUCUUCGCAAUGUUGUCGUCAUUGUCUCUCCCCAAUCCUCCGACCUCGCCGCCUACCUUUGACGCCUUCGUGAUGCCAUUGAAGAGCUCCAGAACCCGAAACACCAUUCUUCGCCCGUAUCAUCCACCGCCAUCACCAAAUCGAAUUUAUGGUUUUUCUACAGUGAUUGGAAUGGUUAAGUCAGGGUUUAAUACUUCGUGAAUUGAACAGGUGAUGAAGAUCCUAACAAGAGAAACAAACUAGUUCAGGACUUGAAUGAUUUAACUGGAGAAGGAAACAUUGAGAGUAUGCUUGCAGUAGAUUCAGUAGAUUAUUUACAGUCCUUUGUUUUGUAGCUACUUUACUGUAUUUGUUAAAAGUCCUCUAUAUUUCUGAUUCUCUUGGUUGGAAUUGGACUUUAUAGUGGAUUGCGAGGCAACUCUUAUUAUAUUGCUAUCAACUUCAGUCAUCCACUGGCUGAGCAACAGAUAAAAGCUGUGGACAGAGUUUUGUCAGAACUAGAUGUGUCUUCGAUACCAAGGUUGAUGGUGUGGAACAAGGUUGAUAAGGUGAGCGAUCCUGACAGCAUCAGAACAGAAGCAGAAAAGAGAGAUGAUGUUGUUUGCAUAUCUGCUCUGAGUAGCCAGGGCUUGAAUGAUUUCUGCAGUGCAAUCCAGGAAAAAUUGAAGGACUCUAUGGUAUGGGUGGAAGCCUUGAUCCCAUUUGAAAAAGGAGAGCUUCUUAGUACCAUACAUAAGGUUGGAAUGGUGGAGAGAACAGUAAGUAUCCAGUGGAUGUUGAU